UUCGGUGUCAAAUAUGACUAAUUUUUAUUUACUUUCCCACUGGAUUGAUUUUAAGAGCUCUGUGGGCAUUUUGCUCUUAAGUAUUAUGGGCUACUCCACACACAUACAUAUGACAGACUAAAUAUACAUAAGAAGAACUACAUAAAAAGUACUUUGUCAAUUUGCUCUAUUUCUUCUUGUUACAGGGGUCUUCUCCUGUAUCCCUUCUUCAGACAAAGCUAUUAAGUAGUCUUUGUUGAGGACUUUUAUUAUUCUUCAAGAGUUCAUGUCUCAUUUAAGUUGCUUAAAGCUUAAAAAUGGCACAUUACAUAUUUUCCUCCCUUCUCGUUCAUUAAAAUAUUUAAGUUGCUUGGAUUUGUUUACUACGUUAACAAUGGCUUAACAAUAGAAAUUUAUGAAAAAACCUUUGCAAUGCCUACGAAUACAAACAUAAACAUGAGUUAAAACAUUUAGGAGAAAGAAAGGGGAAUAAAAAAAGACAGAUGACAUGAAUGAGCACAAACAUAAGUUUUAAAAAGGGAGGUAAUUCACCUUUAAUGGGAUUGCUCAAUGUGAUCAGCUUAAAUCAAUUUGCCGCCAUUUGCUCUAUCCUCACAAAGUAGAGAAUAACAUUCCUCAUAAAAUGGAAAUAACUUUCCACUCAGGGCGAAUACAACCCUGGUUGAGCAGAGAAAUUGUGAUUCUAGGAUUUUGAAGAGGCAAAAAACCAUUUGCAGCCACUACGACGGCUAAAAGUCCACAAGUCAAUCAGUUUGUGUCCCUGCUUUCACCCGGAAGCUGAGUCUCCUUUACAUCCCUCAAAUUGGAUUCCUCAAGAACUAAACCCCGGCGACCCAAAAGAACAAGAUCAAGAAGCUUUCUCCUAGCAUCAUAAACUGGAUUGGGGUGAACCAAACAUCCCCUAUCAUAAGCCUCUCUCAGAAAAACAGUGUGUCUCUUCCCCUUGGUUGACAAAUAGAAAAUCCCAGGGUGGUCCAAGAACAAAUCCCUUAUAUUCAGAUCAAUUCCAAACCAUUUCCUGAAAUGACUUAUCUUCUCCACUUCCACCAUCUUCUCAACAGUCAAACUCAAAAAUUCAUGAGCUAUAGCAACUGCCCUUUUCUCCAAAGCCAUCGCAGUAGCCUUUGACUUUGAUCUCAUUGCCCCUGGAAGCAUUUUCUCGUAUGGCCCUACAUAUGGCAAACUCUGCCACAAGUUAACCUUAGCCUUAAAAUUCUUAGACAACCUCAUCCCAGGAGGGUAUCCGUGCUUAAAACUGAACUGAAUCGCAGUCCUCUCAACACCACAAUUCUCUUUACAACACUCCUCAACUCUCCAGUUAUCCACAGCCGAAGUAAAAGAACUAGUUUUAUUCCUAAUAUUAUCAACCAUGCUUAGAGUAUGAGUACCGGGUUCAGACCCAUCUAAAAGCUUGAACAAAUGAGGGUUUUGGGAUAGUACCGAGUCCUCGAAGUCGUCAGGCAACCCAAGCUCCCUCCAGACCUUGAAAAUGGCUCGAAGCGGCACCGUUUUGGAGGUGGACAUGGAGAGAAGGCGGAGAAGGCGAUCAACGACGAGGGGGAGCGAGGCGGCAAUGGCGUCGGAUUCUUGGUGAGAAAUGCGAAGAGCAUCAUUAGUUAAUGCGCACAAGGGUUGGGACUUGGUUGGGUCGUAGAAGAUGCGGAAAAUGUGAGGGUAUUUGCGGAGGAAGGAGGUGGAGCCGCGGUUGAGGUGGAGCUUCUGGGCGAGCUUGGAGAGGAAUUCAAGAGAAACAACGGGGUUUUGAGGGUUAGCAAGGAUGAGGUCUUGGAUGGAGAUAACUUUGAGGAAGUUCUUGUAGUUGUCCAUGAAUUUCUCGAAAGUGGGGUCUCUAGCUCUGGAAGACACGUAGUGAGAUGAGGUUGUUUUCAAUCGGACGAUAAUGGAGGGAGAGAUGAAAUGGUAUGAUUGAUUAUUCCUCAUGAAUCCCACUAUCCGACUCCCCAUCGAAAUCAUUCCCAGUUUCUUCCUAGUCAUAUUCAUUGUUGCAGCAAGCAACGCCUACAAAUGGUUUAACAGCAAUAUGUUCAUGUUGCUUUUAUUUCAGGGAGAGAGAGAUGUUUUUUUUUUUUUUUUUUUUGAAGAGAAGAAGAAGGAGAAGGAGAAAUUGAUAACAGUUUCUUUCUGAAUUUACGUGAAUUUCAAUUUCAUUUUUUUUAGCUAGGGAAACAUGUCUCCUCUAGCAAAAAAGAGAAAACACCCUCUUCUCUAGAUUUGCCAGCCUUUACCUUAGGCCUCUGUGGUGGCUCGGGAAUGGAAUAGGUGAGUGGUUGCUAUUUGGCACCACCUUAAGGUUCUUAUAAGAACACAGAUAAUUUUCAAUUGAAGCAUUAAGAGAAUGUUUCCCACUCUUACAUUUCUAUAUCAUCACCCCCACUCUUCAAUUUUUGAUAUGCAUAUUAAUGAUGGGCAGUAUGCUAUAACUCUUAACUUACCCGAUUCUAAAGUGAAGUACACCUCUUCACAGUGACAGAAUCUUCAACAUCUCCUAUCUCAAACAUGUUAUUCAAAACAAUUAUAUCUCUCAUUGUGUAGCAGAAUCAUUUACAACUCAUUGAACCUAAUAUAUCUCUCAUACGGCAGCAUAGAAACAGACCAGUACUCGACCUGCAGAAAUGGAAGAAUUUCCAAACCUGAGCAUACAUAAAAUUUCAUUCAACAUACUCUAUACACUAAUUAACAGCCAGUCCGGUGCUACAUCAUAGGCAUAUUGAGAACGUAGAUAAUUGUAACCAUAUUCAAAUGAAAUGACAGCAAUGGAAUGCUAAUCCUCAUACUUCAUAUGCAAUAGUGACCAUUAAACCACUAAUGUUUACACCAUACUCUGCCUUGUAGAGAUCUUUCUCUAACAUGUCUAUUUGUUUUCUCCAAAUACAUAAAACUAAUCGAGAAAAAUAUAUAUUCAUAUAAAACUUAAUCUGCAAAAUUCUCAUAUUUCUUAAUAUGGUUAUAAAAGAUUCCCAUGUUUUGCAAAUUCCUCUUUCCCAUGCAAUGUUCUUAAAACUUGAACUCUUUCAAUCAUAAUGGAACAAAUAUUUUUCUUCUUGCUCAAACUCUCAUGAGAAUGGGGAGUUCAAAAUUCCAUUUAGAAAAGGUGUGUUUUAUUUAUAUUUAUUAUAAGUACUAAUACUUCAAAUGCUGAUAAGCUACAACAUGGUAAUGUUUUCUGGCAGUAGAAGUAAAAGCCAACAAUAAGAAAAGAAAGAUAGUCUAAUGUAAUGUAAUAAGUUGGAUUGAACCCAUCAAAGUUUGGAACUUAGUUCCCAGCAAGAAGGGCAUCGAUUUUGUUUUCCAAGUGGGCUUCAUGGUCUUCAAGGCGACCCUUGAUGGCGUCAUUUUCCCAAAGGAUCAAAGUUGGAACACCGGUUAGCUUGAAUUUUGAGUCUACUCUCCAAGGAUGCAGGGGAGUCCUCCAUGUAGGACGGUCUCCCACAUAAGCUCUCAACAGAACAACAUCAUUAGAAGUAGCUUCUAGCUUCUUGUAGAU